rnacentral:lncRNA from 1 species
GGUGAGUGUGAUUAGCCGUUACCAGCCGUUUGAAAAUGUGCAGCUUCUGACAUCACAGGUGGGCGUGUCCACCUAGAUGUGUGCAGGAUAGAUCAGUCCACUAGCCUACCCAGUGGACUGUAGCAAACGUUGCUCAUCAAUCCGUCAUACAUCUAAAUUUGUUCAGACGUUCAGACUUUUACCGUUCAAAUCUGUACUUGUUUGUACAUAAAACUCUUUCAAAUAUUCAUAUGCACCACUGGCUUCAGCGGUAGCUCCGUUGUCAUUAUUGUUUUAAGAGGCCAUGCUGGCAUGCCUGUUGCAGUUAAUCCACAGGAGCCGGUAAACAGUGCGUGAGCGUCGUUCAACGUUCACAAAAUAUAUGAGAGCGUUCAAUGAACGCCGCUCUUAUAGCGCGUUCAUGCACCCCACUGGCUGGCAACAUGAGGUCUCUGGUUCAGGUGGAGGAGUUGGGUUAGAGGAUAGACUGGACCAGGUUUUGUUUGUUAUGUAAGGCUAACUUUAUCUACUCUAUAACCGUCCAGGUGGAGCUGCUGGAGAAAGAACACCUGGUCCCUCAUCCACACCUCUCCUCUCUCUGGAGCCUCCUGCAGGUCUAGAGACAUCCAUCCCUCCAGCUCCCUCCAGUGAAACACAGCCUGCAGGUCUAGAGACAUCCAUCCCACCAGCUCCCUCCAGUGAAACACAGCCUGCAGGUCUAGAGACAUCCAUCCCUCCAGCUCCCUCCAGUGAAACACAGCCUGCAGGUCUAGAGACAUCCAUCCCUCCAGCUCCCUCCAGCGAAACACAGCCUGCAGGUCUAGAGACAUCCAUCCCUCCAGCUCCCUCCAGUGAAAAACAGCCUGCAGGUCUAGAGACAUCCAUCCCUCCAGCUCCCUCCAGUGAAACACAGCCUGCAGGUCUAGAGACAUCCAUCCCUCCAGCUCCCUCCAGUGGAACACAGCCUGCAGGUCUAGAGACAUCCAUCCCUCCAGCUCCCUCCAGUGAAACACAGCCUGCAGGUCUAGAGACAUCCAUCCCUCCAGCUCCCUCCACUGAAACACAGCCUGCUGAAGAAACUACACCACUAAUGUCCAGUGAAUCUCCUGCACCAACCGGGGACCAACAAGAACACACUUCAAGAACAAGUACCCCUGAUGUAACUAUGGAUGGUCAUGAUGAUGACCAGAGUCUGGAUGCCCUCGCCUACCGGUCUGGUACUGGACAGCUAGACAUUGAGAUGGGUCCAGUCCAAAAGCUGCCCAAAGAACGUAACAGGAUUCUUUAA